rnacentral:misc_RNA from 1 species
GAUGAAGAACGUAGUAAAAUGCGAUGAGUAAUGUGAAUUGCAGAAUUCAGUGAAUCAUCGAAUCUUUGAACGCACAUUGCGCCCGCUGGUAUUCCGGCGGGCAUGCCUGUUCGAGCGUCAUUUCAACCCUCAAGCCCCCGGGUUUGGUGUUGGGGAUCGGCUCUGCCCUUCUGGGCGGUGCCGCCCCCGAAAUACAUUGGCGGUCUCGCUGCAGCCUCCAUUGCGUAGUAGCUAACACCUCGCAACUGGAACGCGGCGCGGCCAUGCCGUAAAACCCCAACUUCUGAAUGUUGACCUCGGAUCAGGUAGGAAUACCCGCUGAACUUAAGCAUAUCAAUAAGCGGAGGA